AGUCAACAUGCCCAGGGGACGUGGAUAACCUCGGGAAACUGAGGAUAAACCGCGAUAGGUCAUCACUUCUGGAAUGGGUAAUGACUUAAACCUAUAUGGCCCCUGGAUUGGACUGCGGCCGAUCAGGCUGUUGGUGAGGUAAUGGCCCACCAAACCUGUAACCGGUACGGGCUCUGAGAGGAGGAGCCCGGAGAUGGGCACUGAGACAAGGGCCCAGGCCCUAUGGGGCGCAGCAGGCGCGAAACCUCUGCAAUAGGCGAAAGCUUGACAGGGUUACUCUGGGUGAUUUCCGUUAAGGAGAUCUUUUGGCACCUCUAAAAAUGGUGCAGAAUAAGGGGUGGGCAAGUCUGGUGUCAGCCGCCGCGGUAAUACCAGCACCCCGAGUGGUCGGGACGUUUAUUGGGCCUAAAGCAUCCGUAGCCGGUUCUACAAGUCUUCCGUUAAAUCCACCUGCUUAACAGAUGGGCUGCGGAAGAUACUAUAGAGCUAGGAGGCGGGAGAGGCAAGCGGUACUCGAUGGGUAGGGGUAAAAUCCGUUGAUCCAUUGAAGACCACCAGUGGCGAAGGCGGCUUGCCAGAACGCGCUCGACGGUGAGGGAUGAAAGCUGGGGGAGCAAACCGGAUUAGAUACCCGGGUAGUCCCAGCUGUAAACGAUGCAGACUCGGUGAUGAGUUGGCUUAUUGCUAACUCAGUGCCGCAGGGAAGCCGUUAAGUUUGCCGCCUGGGGAGUACGGUCGCAAGACUGAAACUUAA
rnacentral:rRNA from 1 species